rnacentral:lncRNA from 1 species
CUGGCCCGCACUCGGCGGCCGCGGCGCGAUGGAGGCGCCGGCCGAGCUACUGGCCGCGCUGCCUGCGCUGGCCACCGCGCUGGCCCUUCUGCUCGCCUGGCUACUGGUGCGGCGUGGGGCGGCCGCGAGCCCGGAGCCUGCCCGCGCGCCCCCGGAACCCGCGCCCCCGGCCGAGGCCACCGGGGCCCCGGCGCCGUCCCGCCCCUGCGCCCCCGAGCCGGCGGCCUCGCCCGCGGGGCCGGAGGAGCCUGGAGAGCCCGCGGGGCUGGGGGAGCUCGGGGAGCCUGCGGGACCGGGGGAGCCCGAAGGGCCAGGGGAUCCCGCGGCGGCGCCAGCGGAGGCGGAGGAGCAGGCGGUGGAGGCGAGGCAGGAGAAGGCUUCUCCUUCAAAUACAGCCCCGGGAAGCUGAGGGGAAACCAGUACAAGAAGAUGAUGACCAAAGAGGAGCUGGAGGAGGAGCAGAGGAUUGAGCUGACCUCUGACCUCACUUCCCUGUAGCAAGUUCCUUAGGUCCUGAGCCACAAAUAUUCUUGCAAAUCCUUUUGAACUGAAGAAUAACGAAGUUAUCCUUAGCGUCCUCCUAAAGGCUUUUCCUUUUGGCAUCUUAAAAGCUUGAGAGAUAAAACGGAAACCCCAGAGAGGAGUCUGGGCAGGCUCCCAGGGUGCAUGCUGCCUCCAUAAAUCUGCUGAGCUCUAGACCCUCAAUCAGGACUUGUCCCUUGGCUAGCAGGAUCCUGGGAACACCUUUGGCCCUGCCCUGUGUAGAGAUGUUCAUGUCUGUUCCUGUGGGUCACUUUGUUAAGCUGAAGAGUUUUAAGAGGUAGAGCUCAGACCCUGGACUGGGAUUUUUCUUACCACUCAAACUUGCUAUCCACACACCCUGCACACCUUAGAUAAAAAGAACAUUUUAAAAGCAGAGUUCACUUUCACUCCAGUCUCCCCUCUUUUGCCCUCACUGAAGCCAAACCACAGAAGACUUUGAGGAAUGAGAGACAAAUGAGGUAGAGCUCACCUGUGCUCACCAGCUCCGUCAGGGUGGUCAGCCGACCCCUUUCCCUGGGAACCCCACUUCUCUCUGUGGCUGGCUUGGUUGUCGGGGGUGAGAUGCCAUAUUGAUUACAGGGCAGCAAAGAACCAGUACCAGGAAUUUACUUGACCAUUCCCCUUAUUUUUCAUCUAGAGGAAUCUCGGAUUCAGCCCUUUCAUUGCUAAGACACCUUUUCACUGAGGUUCUUACCAGCUCAGCCAAAUCUCCACUCUGCUAUAGCAGAAGCAAUAAUGUUUGCUUUAAAAAGAUUUCUUGACCUAUGCCUUUUCUUAGAAAGUUUGAUAGAUUAGUUAGAACUUCAGAUCAUCAGAUCAGUCUCAAAUGGGUUUCUUGGAAUUUUAUAUUUGACAAUAUUUAUACUAUACCAAACUCAUUUGCAGUUCUUAGGUUUGUUGGUUAAAACAUUUUUUUAAAGCAGUAAGUUUAUAGAAAAUGUUUUCAUUUAAUGGAAGGCUGGGGAAUGUCCAGCAUCAACCCCUAUGGCAUGCAUUCCCAGGGGCCUUCUCAUCUGGGCCUGGAACCUUUGGUUCAGGGCUUAGGGGAGAACAGGCCACAUGGCAACAGCCACACAGUCAUUGCCUUCAACACAGAGCCACGUGUCCCCAAACAGCAAUAGUCAUGCCCUUGUCCAGGCUGGGAUCUAAUUGACACAAUAGGUCGUUGACUCCCUCCUAGUAGAGCUAUCUAGGUUUGUCUGGAAAGUUUCCGACCCUGGCUUAUAGGCACCACACCUCAUGUACUCCUCAUGGCUUGGAUCUCUGUAUUCAGCCUUUGUUCAGUCCAAUAAACUUUGAGUAGAUGAUCUC